UUGAUUCACCACCAAGCUACUUUGGCGCCAAGCUACUUGAAGCCUAAGUAAAGAUGAGCCAGCCAAACGUCUAUAAGAAGACCCCCAAUGCCAACAUUGGGGAAAAAGCCCUUGGACUCCCAAGCUUCAAGAGCUAUCCUAAGAGCCAGUAAGGCUUCCCUAGAAAGCUUAUUGAAGAUUUUAAGAUCCAGGUAGAAGUUACAAGCC
rnacentral:lncRNA from 1 species